rnacentral:tRNA from 1 species
AGGGAUAUAGCUCAAUGGUAGAGCACAUGUUUAGCAUGCACAAGACCCUGGGUCCAAUCCCCAGUACCUCCA